rnacentral:rRNA from 1 species
UACGAAGGGUGCAAGCGUUACUCGGAAUUACUGGGCGUAAAGGGCGCGUAGGUGGCGGCUUAAGCGUGCGGUGAAAGCUCGGGGCUCAACCCCGAGUCGGCCGUGCGAACUGAGUCGCUUGAGCACUGUAGAGGCAGGCGGAAUUCCGGGUGUAGCGGUGGAAUGCGUAGAGAUCCGGAAGAACACCGGUGGCGAAGGCGGCCUGCUGGGCAGUAGCUGACACUGAGGCGCGAAAGCGUGGGGAGCAAACAGG